UACAGAGGUGGCGAACGUUGUCCGGAUUUAUUGGGUGUAAAGGGCAUGUAGGUGGUCUUGUAAGUCAAAGGUGAAAUGGCUCGGCUCAACCGAGUCAUUGCCUUUGAAACUGCCGGACUCGAGUACGGAAGAGGAGAGCGGAAUUCCCAGUGUAGCGGUGAAAUGCGUAGAUAUUGGGAGGAACACCGGUGGCGAAAGCGGCUCUCUGGUCCGAAACUGACACUGAGAUGCGAAAGCCAGGGGAGCAAAC
rnacentral:rRNA from 1 species